rnacentral:tRNA from 1 species
GGCCACGUAGCUCAGCUGGUAGAGCAUGUAUUUAGAAAGCGUAGGCGGCGUCCAUGCUAGGGUUUGAAUCCCACCGAGGCUA